UACUCACUGCCUACCCUCUCCUCGGUCAUUAGCGCACGUCAGUCUAAAUAGCUGUCAAUACUUAGUACAUUGGCUUCCCUUUCUUUAUAUAGGACAGCAGACAAACUUGGCGCGUAAAAUCUACUCCAGUUCUGAUCGAUGCGAUUUUCUCAAUGCUGAGAAGAGUUAGUAAUUGUGAUUUUUAACCAUGUUAACCUAGCGCAGCAUUGACAUUUACGACCGCCCUAAUUUGUGACUGUAUAGCACCUUAUCACUGACAGGGAACGGCGUAGCAUGGGUGGCUGAUGAGUACCUCUUUGAAGGCACCUCCAUGACGAUCGGGAAAGAACCACCAUAGGCCACCCAUGUCAAAAUUGAAUUUGCCGCACUCGAUUAAACACGCAGACUUGGGCCUCGAUAGAGAACUUCGUCCUGGAUAGUUUCCUGACCUGUGUUUGACAUAUGCUAUGACGUUUGUAAGCUGCUGUAUAGACGCCCAACCGAAACUGUUUGACAAAGUGCUACAUAUGGCGCCUCUCUUGGCAAGACCUUCUCCACGUUGUCGCUCUUCAUUACUAGCGAGAUUAACAAGGGUUUCAGUUAGCGUUCUCAUAGCACUCUCUGGAGAGACGUACCGAGCAUCACCGACUUGUUAUAUAUCAAGCCACUCCGUAAGGCGGCAGCUGGUAAUUGGGUUGAGCUUCCUGUGAUGCGAAGCGAAAUGUGGUCCGUCCGUGUGCCAAAGGUAACAAAUCUGUCUUACAACGUCGGGGCUUCGGGUAACGAACGUCAGGGCAAACUGGAUAGCUUAAUCGGAUGAACGCAGCCACGCUGGUGAAAGGGCGAUCUC